UAUAAAUGUCACCACUUACUAAAUGGGGGAAUGUUUGGGGAACAUCUGUAACGGUCCCCGUUACAAUAAGUACUAGUUAUUAAGGUCUUCCGUUUCCAACGGAAGACCUUCUAGUGAUUCUACUGUUUAUUAUUAUUAUUAAGGUCUUCCGUUUCCAACGGAAGACCUUCUAGUGAUUCUACUGUUUAUUAUUUUUUUUUUUCCCCUUUCGUCUCCUAGACCGUUGGAUGGAUUUUCCUGAAACUUUCACAGGUUAUAGACAACGAUGGUACCUCGAGGCAUUUUUUUCAUUUUUUCAAAAUUCACUUCCGGUCGCAAGAUAUGUCCAAUUUUCGUCUUUUUACAAGAUAUCUUGUCCAGCGUCUUUCUCAGAAACAGUAAAAGAUAGAGUCACCAAAUUUUCAGAGUUAAUAGAUCUCACUUUGUAGGCGUGCAGUAGGGGGUUAAGAAUGUUGGCCGUCACUUCCGGUCGUCACCGGAAGUGAUUGAUGAAUCAUAAAUUUCAAACUUUUUUCUUUCAAAUUGAAACCUAUAUCGGUUUACUAGGUCUUGUUGUAAUUUUCAAAAAAUGUUGACCCCACCGGAAGUUGAAACUCCAACUUCCGGUUAUAUAAAAAAAGACUAUUCAUUCUCUCAUUUUUCAGUGCCAUAAAUCUCGGUCAUAAAACAAGUUAAUGAUUUGAAUUUUACGUAUGUUAUAGACACUAUAAUUGUUUAGAGUAUAUUUAAAUAUUUUUUUGAAAAUUUACUUCCGGUCGUGAGAUAUGGGGUGGACAUAUUCAAACCUUGUUUUUUCAGUUUCUCAAUAAUGAAUAUAGAUAGACGUUUGAAACUUGUAGAGUUGAUCAACUAACAUUAGUCCAUUGUACACAUGCAUUCAAUUUUUUCGUCCGUCACUUCCGGUCUAUACCGGAAGUAUUUGAAAAAAUGUCGAUUUUCCAAUUUCUUUGAGUGAUUUCUCAGAGAUGGCUGGAUAUAUUUUCUUGAAAUUUUCAGGAAUAAUGUAUUAUGAAAUGAUUUUGCUAUAGGUAUUUUUGUUUUACGAAAUUCACUUCCGGUCGGAAAAUAGGGCCGAUUUUCUGUUUCUCAAAAGGAAUUUUGUCCAGCACUUUUCUUGGAAAAGGUAAAAUAUAGGUUCAUCAUAUAUUCAGGAAUGAUCAAUCUCCGUUUGUAAGCGUGCAGUAGGGGGUUGAACAUGUCGACCGUCACUUCCUGUCGUCACCGGAAGUGAUGGAAAGAAUCGCAAAUUUCAAACAUUUCCUUUAAAUUGAAACCUAUACUAGUUCAUCAACUCUCUUUCAAAGUGUCAAAAUAAUAUUGAGUCUGUCGGUAAUCAAAACGACUACUUCCGGUUUCUUGAUAAAAUAUUUUUUACUUUUCGUCUCUUUGUCCCCAUAAAUCUCGCUUAUAUUUGAAGUUUUUCAUAUGAUUUUCACAUGUCUUAAUAAAAGUAUCAACUUCUAGAGUUUUGAUAAUUUUGUUUUUCAAAAUUGACUUCCGGUCGGUAGUAACCUGCUAGUUUUUCUUUCUUUAGUCUACUUGUUUUUGUUGAGAACUCUUUCAGAUAGAGACGUGAAAUUUUCAGGGAAUAUAGACAGUAAACAAUCGAUGUCAUUUAUAGGAAAACGCAUCUGACUAGUACUUCCGGUCGUCACCGGAAGUUACGAGAAAGGAGUAAAAAGUUCGAUGAUACAUUUCUCAUUCAUUGUUAAGGCACAUUUUCUGAUACAUUUAAAUGGUUUUCGUAGGAAUAGAAAGCUCUUUACCGGAAGUGGUCUAACGGAAGACCUACUCAUUACUAGUAAUGAGUAUCUAGUUAUUAUUAUUAUUUUUUUUUUCCCUUUCGUCUCCUAGACCGUUGGAUGGAUUUUCCUGAAACUUUCACAAGUUAUAGGGAACGAUGGUACCUCGAGGCAUUUUUUUCAUUUUUUCAAAAUUCACUUCCGUUCGUCAGAUACGUCCGAUUUUCCGGUUUUUGAAAGAAACUUUGUCCGGGGGUAAACUUGAAAACCACUAAAGAUAAUCGAAUGAAACUUUCAGGGAUGAUAGAUCUAUAUUCUCUAUGGUGCAUGCACGUAAUAUUUUUUGUCGCCGUCACUUCCGGUCGUCACCGGAAGUGAUUAAAUAAAUCAUCAAUUUCAAACUUUUUUCUUUUAAAUUGAAACCUACUUUGGUUUACUAUAUCUCGUUCUAAAUCUCAAAAAAUGUUGACCCCACCGGAAGUUGAAUCUCCAACUUCCGGUCAUAUCAAAGAAAGACUAUUCAUUCUGUCAUUUUUCAGUGCCAUAAAUCUGGGUCAUGAAACUAGUUAAUGAGUUGAGUUUUACAUAUAUUAUAGUCACUAUAAAUGUCUAGAGUAACGUCAAAUAUUUUUGUAAAAUUUACUUCCGGUCGGCAAAUACGGCUUAUGAGCUGUUUUCGUUGUCAAGCGUUUUUCUCAGAAACGGUAAAAGAUAGAGUCACCAAAUUUUCAGAUUUAAUAGAUCUCACUUUGUAGGCGUGUAGUAGGGGGGUAAGAAUGUCGGCCGUCACUUCCGGUUGUCACCGGAAGUGAUUAAUAAAUCAUAAAUUUAAAACUUUUUUCUUUGAAAAUGAAACCUAUAUCGGUUUAUUAGGUCUCGUUCUAAUUCUCAAAAACUAUUGACCCCACCGGAAGUUGAAUCUCCAACUUCCGGUUAUAUCAAAGAAAGCCUGUUCAUUCUCUCAUUUUUCAGUGCCAUAAAUCUCGGUCAUAAAACAAGUUAAUGAUUUGAAUUUUACAUAUGUUAUAGACACUAUAAAUGUGUACAGUAAAUUUAAAUAUUUUUGUAAAAUUCACUUCCGGUCGUGAGAUAUGGGGUGGACAUAUUCAAACCUUGUUUUUUCAGUUUCUCAAUAAUGAAUAUAGAUACACGUUUGAAACUUGUAGAGUUGAUCAACUAACAUUAGUCCAUUGUACACAUACAUUCAAUUUUUUUCUCCGUCACUUCCGGUCUAUACCGGAAGUAUUUGAAAAAUGUCGAUUAUCCGAUUUCUUCCAGUGAUUUCUGAGAGAUGGUGGAUAGAUUUUCUUGAAAUUUUCAGGAAUGAUGUCUUAUGAAAGGACCUUGCUAUAACUAUUUUUCUUUUUACAAAAUUCACUUCCGGUCAGAAAAUAUGGCCGAUUUUCUGUUUCUCAAAAGGAAUUUUGUCCAGCAAUUUUCUUGGAAAAGGUAAAAUAUACCUUCAUCAAUUAUUCAGAAAUUAUAAAUCUCCGUUUGCAAUCGUGCAGUAGAGGGUUGAACAUGUCGACCGUCACUUCCUGUCCUCACCGGAAGUGAUUGAAAGAAUCGCAAAUUUCAAAUUUUUUCUUUUAAAUUGAAACCUAUACUAGUUUAUUAAGUCUCUUUGAAAGUGUCAAAAGAAUAUUGACUCCGUUGGUAGUCAAAACAACUACUUCCGGUUUCUUGAUAAAAUACCUUUUUACUUUUUAUCUCUUUGUCCCCAUAAAUCUCGCUUAUAUUUGAAGUCUUUCAUAUGAUUUUCACAUGUCAUAAUAAAAGUAUCAACUUCUAAAGUUUUGAUAAUUUUGUUUUUCAAAAUUGACUUCCGGUAGGUAGUAACCUACUACUUUUUCUUUCUUUAGUCUACUUCUUUUUGUUGAGAACUCUUUGAGAUAGAGACGUGAAAUUUUCAGGGAAUAUAGACAGUAAAGAGUCGCUGUCAUUUAUGGGAAAACGCAUAAUAAAAGUACUUCCGGUCAUCACCGGAAGUUACGAGAAAUAAGUAAAAGGUUCGAUAAUACAUUUCUCAUUCAUUGUUAAGGCUUAUUUUCUGAUAUAUUUAAAUGGUUUUCGUAGGAACAGAAAGCUCUUUACCGGAAGUGGUCUAACGGAAGACCUACUCAUUACUAGUAAUGAGUUUCUAGUUAUUAUUCUUUUUCUCCGGUACUUUUUUGUCCGGUAGUGUUCUCAGAAACUACAAAAGGGAUCAAUAUGAAACUUUCCAGGAUGAUAGUAUAGCGUUUGUAGAUGUGCAGAACGAUAGUAAUUUUGUCUUCACGUGCAUGCACGUGCGCGCACGUGCAUUGCAAUUUUGGUACAAAAAAUGAAAAAUCAGAAUAUUGAAAGGAUCGAUAUGAAACCUUAAUAGGAUGAUAGUAUAUCAUUUGUAGAUGUGAAAAAUGAUAUUCAUUUUGUAUACACGCGCGUGCAUGCGCAUGCACGUGCAUCCCAAUUUUCGUACACUAACUUUGGAAUCAGUCUAACUUUUUUGUUGUUUAUAAAAAUGGCUUGAUAUUCAUAUCAUCGGUAGAUAUUGAGACCCUUAACUGAUUUGCAUGGUCAAAAUUACCAAUUUGCACGCGCAUGCACGUUCGCUUCAUUUUGAUUGGAUAAUACUAAAACGUUUGUAACUAUCUUAUUUAUGAAGCGAAUGAGAUGAUUUUCACAGCAUACGUAGACAAUAUGUUUAUGUAAAUAUUGUUGUAAGAAAAAAUGCCAACGCAUACGCGCGUUUUUUUUUCAAAUGUUCAAUUUUUAAAGGACGAUAACGUUUUUGUUUUUCAUUGAAUUUUAUUGAUAUUAGGGGUUUAGAUGUGUUUUGGUACUUCUUACAAAUUGUUGUUGUUAGAAUUACUGCUCAACACGUGCAUGUACGUGUGCUGAAUUCUGAUUGGACGAUUUUAAAAUCGCUAUAACUUCCUUAUAUUUGGUGGAAACGUUAUGAAAUUCAUACUGUGGGUAUAUGAUACAAAUGCUUGUUGAACGACAUCAACAAAAAUUCGGAAUCAUACACGCGUGCACGUGUAUGCACGUGCAACGCUUUCUUUCUUGGUACUGAAAUGACCAUAUUGAACGUACUACAUGUAAUUAAAGGCUAAAAUAAAAUGAUUUUUUGCUAUAGAUUCAUAAGGACAUCACUUUUUAAUUGGGGGAGGUUUGGGGAACAUAUGUAACAGUCCCCGUUACAAUUAAAACUAGUUUUUUUUUCCUUUUGUCUCCGAGACCGUUGGAUGGAUUUUCCUGAAACUUUCACAGAUUAUAGAGAAUGAUGGUACCUCGAGGCAUUUUUGUCAUUUUUUCAAAAUUCACUUCCUUCGUGAGAUACGCCCGAUUUUCCGGGUUUUGAAAACAACUUUGUCCGGGGGUAAACUUGAAAACCACAAAAGAUAAUCAAAUGAAACUUUCAGGGAUGAUAGAUCUAUUUUCUCUAUAGUGCAUGCACGUAAUAUUUUUUGUCGCCGUCACUUCCGGUCGUCACCGAAAGUGAUUAAAUGAAUCGUAAAUUUCAAACUUUUUUCUUUCAAAUUGAAACCUAUAUCGGUUUACUAGGUCUCUUUCUAAUUCUCAAAAAAUGUUAACCCCACCGGAAAUUGAAUCUCCAACUUCCGGUUAUAUCAAAGAAAGUCUAUUCAUUCUCUCAUUUUUCAGUGCCAUAAAUUUCGGUCAUGAAACAAGUUAAUGAGUUGAGUUUUACAUAUAUUAUAGUCAAUAUGAAUGUCUAGAGUAACGUCAAAUAUUUUGUAAAAUUCACUUCCGGUCGUUAGAUAUUGUGUGGACAAAUUCAGACUUUGUUUCCCUGAUAUCUCCGGAACGAGUAUAGAUAUACACUUGAUACUUGCAGGGGUUAUAGAUUAGGAAUAAUCCAUCUUAAACAUAUUUUGUAUAUGAGUGUACGUCACUUCCGGUUUCAACAGGAAGUGGUUGAAAAUUUACUAUAUUCAAAUUUUUUCAACACGAUUUCUCAGAGAUGGCUCCAUGGAUUUUCUUGCCAAUUAUGAAGAUGAUAGAGAAUUGUAGUACCCUUAGACACAAUCUAUCAUUUUUAUAAAAUUUACUUCCUUUCGUAAGAUAUGUCCAAUUUCCAUUUUUCAAAAAAUCAUCUUGUCCGGGGGUAAUCUCAAAAACGACUAAAGAGGAAUAAAUGAAACUUUCAGGUAUCAUAGAUCUCUCGAUUGUAUAGUGCAUGCACAUUAAUUUGUUUUUCGAUAUUACUUCCGGUCGUAACCGGAAGUGAUUGAAAGAAUCACUAAUUUCAAACUUUUUCUUUUAAAUUGAAACCUACACUAGUUUAUUAAGUCUCUUUCAAAGUAUUCAAAGAAUAUUGACCCCGUCGGUAGUCAAAACGGCUACUUCCGGUUUCUCGAUAAAAUACUCUUAUACCUUUCAUCUUUGUGCCCCCCCCCCCCCUAAAUCUCGUUUAUAUUUCAAGUGUUUGAUAUGAUUUUCAAAUAUCUUAAGAACAGUAUCAACAUCUAGAGUUAAGACAAUUUUAUUUUUCAAAAUUCACUUCCGGUCGGUAGUAAGCCACUACUUUUUCUUUCUUUAGUCUGCUUCUUUUUCUUAAAAACUCUUUCAAAUAGAGACGUGAAACUUUCAGGGAAUAUAGACAAUAGAGAGUCGCUGUGGUUUAUGGGAAAACACAUCUGAAUAUUACUUCCGGCCGUCACCGGAAGUGACGCGAAAUGGGUGAAAACUUCAUUAACACACCUCUCAUGUCUUGAAAAGGCACAUUCUCUGAUAUAUUUGAAUGAUUCUCGUAAGAACAGAAAGCUGUGUACCAGAAGUGUUCAAACGGAAGACCUACUCAUUACUAGUAAUGAGUGUCUAGUUAUUAUUUUUUUUUUCCUUUCGUCUCCGAGACGGUUGGAUGGAUUUUCAUGAAACUUUCACAGAUUAUGGAGAACGAAGGUACCUCGAGGCAUAUUUGUCAUUUUUUCAAAAUUCACUUCCGUUCGUGAGAUACGUCCGAUUUUCCGGGUUUUGAAAGCAACUUUGUCCGGGGGUAAACUUGAAAACGACUAAAGAUAAUCGAAUGAAACUUUCAGGGAUGAUAGAUCUAUUUUUUCUAUGGUGCAUGCACGUAAUAUUUUUUGUCGCUGUCACUUCCGGUCGUCACUGGAAGUGAUUAAAUGAAUCAUAAAUUUGAAACUUUUUUCUUUCAAAUUGAAACCUAUAUCGGUUUACUACACCCCUACUAACGUGUUCGGAACAUAUUCUUUAUCGGUGUUAAGUAGAACGUAAAAUCAAAGACUAUCGAAUGAAAUAUAAUCUCGCUGCUCCGAGACUCCAACGCGAGCUACCCGAGACCCGGUGAAUUUUCUACCGGCUAUGGAUGUGCUUUAAGGAAUUCCAGUGUUAAUUGUACUUUUUGGGAACUUUGAGUGAUUCACCACCCUUUGAACAAAUGUAUUUUGAGAUCCUCAAAGGAAUCCUAGAUUUGUCAAGAAGCCAUGUUUUAAUUGCUGCCCAUCAAAUAGUACAGUGUCUUGCAUGUGUAAAUUAGAUUCAUUUUGAGGAAAUAGCUGGUGUGCAGUGCACAUUCCUAAAUGAAUUCAUCAGUUUACAUUAAGGAUCUACCUUCAAAUCCUGUAAUCUGGGAUGCUCUAAAGUGCAUGUCACAGACUAAAGUUAUAAAAAUAACUUCCAAGAAUUUUUAAAAAAUUGUUAUAACUUUAAAAUGUAUGUAUAUACAUGUAUACUGAUAUUGAAUUAAAUUUUAUAAAAUUUCA